rnacentral:rRNA from 1 species
GAUGAACGCUGGCGGCGUGCCUAAUACAUGCAAGUAGAACGCUGAAGGAGGAGCUUGCUCUUCUGGAUGAGUUGCGAACGGGUGAGUAACGCGUAGGUAACCUGCCUGGUAGCGGGGGAUAACUAUUGGAAACGAUAGCUAAUACCGCAUGACAACAGUUAUUGCAUGAUAACUGUUUAAAAGGGGCAACUGCUCCACUACCAGAUGGACCUGCGUUGUAUUAGCUAGUUGGUGAGGUAACGGCUCACCAAGGCGACGAUACAUAGCCGACCUGAGAGGGGGAUCGGCCACACUGGGACUGGGACACGGCCCAGACUCCUACGGGAGGCAGCAGUAGGGAAUCUUCGGCGAUGGACGGAAGUCUGACCGAGCAACGCCGCGUGAGUGAAGAAGGUUUUCGGGUCGUAAAGCUCUGUUGUAAGAGAAGAACGAGUGUGAGAGUGGAAAGUUCACACUGUGACGGUAUCUUACCAGAAAGGGACGGCUAACUACGUG